rnacentral:rRNA from 1 species
AGCAGCAGCCACGGGAAUACGAAGGGGGCUAGCGUUGUUCGGAUUUACUGGGCGUAAAGGGCGCGUAGGCGGGCUGAUAAGUCAGGGGUGAAAUCCCAAGGCUCAACCUUGGAACUGCCUUUGAUACUGUUUGUCUUGAGUUCGAGAGGGGUAAGUGGAACUGCGAGUGUAGAGGUGAAAUUCGUAGAUAUUCGCGAGAACACCAGUGGCGAAGGCGGCUUACUGGCUCGAAACUGACGCUGAGGCGCGAAAGCGCGGGGAGCAAACAGGAUUAGAUACCCGAGUAGUCCCUGUCUCUUAUAC